GGGCCACUAGCUCAGCUGGAUAGAGUGCCGGUCUACGAAACCGGAGGUCAAAGGUUCGAAUCCUUUGUGGCCCACCA
rnacentral:tRNA from 1 species